GCCUUAGUGGUGUAGUGGUCAGCACGCUCGGCGCGUAUUCGAGAGGUCCGUGGUUCGAGUCCCGGCGGAGGCG
rnacentral:tRNA from 1 species